rnacentral:rRNA from 1 species
UACGGGGGGGGCAAGCGUUGUUCGGAAUUACUGGGCGUAAAGGGCGCGUAGGCUGCUCGCUAAGUCGGGUGUGAAAACUCUGGGCUCAACCCAGAGCCUGCAUUCGAAACUGACGAGCUAGAGUUCUGGAGGGGAAAGCGGAAUUCCUGGUGUAGCGGUGAAAUGCGCAGAUAUCAGGAAGAACACCCGUGGCUAAGGCGGCUCUCUAGUACGGUACUGACGCUGAGACGCGAAAGCGUGGGGAGCGAACAGG